rnacentral:rRNA from 1 species
AAAGCGAGUGUAGGUGGCUCAUUAAGUCACAUGUGAAAUCCCCGGGCUUAACCUGGGAACUGCAUGUGAUACUGGUGGUGCUAGAAUAUGUGAGAGGGAAGUAGAAUUCCAGGUGUAGCGGUGAAAUGCGUAGAGAUCUGGAGGAAUACCGAUGGCGAAGGCAGCUUCCUGGCAUAAUAUUGACACUGAGAUUCGAAAGCGUGGGUAGCAAACAGGAUUAGAUACCCUGGUAGUCCACGCCGUAAACGAUGUCUACUAGCCGUUGGGGUCCUUGAGACUUUAGUGGCGCAGUUAACGCGAUAAGUAGACCGCCUGGGGAGUACGGCCGCAAGGUUAAAACUCAAAUGAAUUGACGGGGGCCCGCACAAGCGGUGGAGCAUGUGGUUUAAUUCGAUGCAACGCGAAGAACCUUACCUGGUCUUGACAUAGUGAGAAUCUUUCAGAGAUGAGAGAGUGCCUUCGGGAAUUCACAUACAGGUGCUGCAUGGCUGUCGUCAGCUCGUGUCGUGAGAUGUUGGGUUAAGUCCCGCAACGAGCGCAACCCUUUUCCUUAUUUGCCAGCGGGUUAAGCCGGGAACUUUAAGGAUACUGCCAGUGACAAACUGGAGGAAGGCGGGGACGACGUCAAGUCAUCAUGGCCCUUACGACCAGGGCUACACACGUGCUACAAUGGUAGGUACAGAGGGUUGCUACACAGCGAUGUGAUGCUAAUCUCAAAAAGCCUAUCGUAGUCCGGAUUGGAGUCUGCAACUCGACUCCAUGAAGUCGGAA